rnacentral:rRNA from 1 species
AGAUCUUCGGAUCUUUGAGAGCGGCGCACGGGUGCGGAACACGUGUGCAACCUACCUUUAUCAGGGGGAUAGCCUUUCGAAAGGAAGAUUAAUACCCCAUAAUAUAAUGAACGGCAUCGUUCGUUAUUGAAAACUCCGGUGGAUAGAGAUGGGCACGCGCAAGAUUAGAUAGUUGGUGAGGUAACGGCUCACCAAGUCAAUGAUCUUUAGGGGGCCUGAGAGGGUGAUCCCCCACACUGGUACUGAGACACGGACCAGACUCCUACGGGAGGCAGCAGUGAGGAAUAUUGGACAAUGGGUGAGAGCCUGAUCCAGCCAUCCCGCGUGAAGGACGACGGCCCUAUGGGUUGUAAACUUCUUUUGUAUAGGGAUAAACCUUUCCACGUGUGGAAAGCUGAAGGUACUAUACGAAUAAGCACCGGCUAACUCCGUGCCAGCAGCCGCGGUAAUACGGAGGGUGCAAGCGUUAUCCGGAUUUAUUGGGUUUAAAGGGUCCGUAGGCGGACUCGUAAGUCAGUGGUGAAAUCUCAUAGCUUAACUAUGAAACUGCCAUUGAUACUGCGGGUCUUGAGUAAGGUAGAGGUAGCUGGAAUAAGUAGUGUAGCGGUGAAAUGCAUAGAUAUUACUUAGAACACCAAUUGCGAAGGCAGGUUACCAUGUCUUAACUGACGCUGAUGGACGAA